rnacentral:rRNA from 1 species
UACGAAGGGGGCUAGCGUUGCUCGGAAUUACUGGGCGUAAAGCGCACGUAGGCGGCCUUUUAAGUCGGUGGUGAAAUCCUGGAGCUCAACUCCAGAACUGCCUUCGAUACUGGAAGACUUGAGUCCGGGAGAGGUGAGUGGAAUUCCGAGUGUAGAGGUGAAAUUCGUAGAUAUUCGGAAGAACACCAGUGGCGAAGGCGGCUCACUGGACGACUGUUGACGCUGAGGUGCGAAAGCGUGGGGAGCAAACAGG